CCUACGGGAGGCAGCAGUGGGGAAUAUUGGACAAUGGGGGGAACCCUGAUCCAGCGACGCCGCGUGAGUGAAGAAGUAUUUCGGUAUGUAAAGCUCUAUCAGCAGGGAAGAAAGAAAUGACGGUACCUGACUAAGAAGCCCCGGCUAACUACGUGCCAGCAGCCGCGGUAAGACGUAGGGGGCAAGCGUUAUCCGGAUUUACUGGGUGUAAAGGGAGCGUAGACGGCGAUGCAAGUCUGAAGUGAAAGGCGGGGGCCCAACCCCCGGACUGCUUUGGAAACUGUAUGGCUGGAGUGCAGGAGAGGUAAGUGGAAUUCCUAGUGUAGCGGUGAAAUGCGUAGAUAUUAGGAGGAACACCAGUGGCGAAGGCGGCUUACUGGACUGUAACUGACGUUGAGGCUCGAAAGCGUGGGGAGCAAACAGGAUUAGAUACCCGGGUAGUC
rnacentral:rRNA from 1 species